rnacentral:rRNA from 1 species
GAUGAACGCUGGCGGCGUGCCUAAUACAUGCAAGUCGAGCGAGUCUGCCUUGAAGUUCGUAGUGCUUGCACUGUGUGAAACAAGAUACAGGCUCGUGGCGGACGGGUGAGUAACACGUGGGUAACCUGCCCAAGAGAUCGGGAUAACCCCUGGAAACAGUUGCUAAUACCGUAUAACAACAGAUGAUGCCUAUCAUCUGUUUAAUAGAUGGUUCUGCUAUCACUCUUGGAUGGACCUCGGGUGCAUUAGCUAGUUGGUAGGGUAACGGCCUACCAAGGGGAAGAUGGCUUGCCGGAUUGAGAGGCGUAUCGGCCCCAUUGGGACUGAGAAAAGGCCCAAACUCCUACGGGAGGGAGCAGUUGGGAAUCUUCCCGAAUUGAGGGAAAGCUGAUGGAGCCAACGCGGGGGAGGGAAGAAGGGUUUCGGCUCGUAAAGCCCUGUUGUUGGGGAAGAAGGACAGGGGUAGGAACCGACCCUCGUUUGAAGGUAAUCUAUUAGAAAAGCACCGCCUACUUAGUG